rnacentral:tRNA from 1 species
GUGCCCGUAGCUCAGCUGGAUAGAGCAACAGCCUUCUAAGCUGUGGGUCGGGAGUUCGAAUCUCCCCGGGCACGCCA